GAAAGCUCUGUACGGACUGGACCUGAGGGUGAGGACACAGGUUAGCCGCAUGUGCUGCGUCUCGCACGAUUCCCUUUCCUGUCUUGGUGGUCGCAGAACAAGCUGAGCUGCGAGAACAGCACCGGCGUCCGGGCUGCUUCCUGUCCCGGCUGGCUAUGCUCAUGCUGAUUCCAGGAGCGACGACGGGGGCGGCGAUGGACUCUGGAUCAAUCUCGGCGGCAAGGGAUCCAGAGGCGCGUGAGGAGCCGUGCGUAUUGGAGGAGGGCGGUAACGCUUUGCCCAAUCGGCCGUAGGCUCGCCGGAUUCGGCCGUCGGAGCGGCCUCAGCGGACAUGCGUCGGUUGGAUCAAGGAGGGGGCUUUGACUGAUGUCCAGUCCUCCGGCGCUUCCUGCAAGACCUUCAGUUCUGGGGGUGGAGAUGUGGCGUCCGCAAACCCCGGGUGUGCGACUCCUGCCGUCGUCUCGCACACCUCCAUCGAAUCCAGCCUCUGCAGUGCCACGGCGGAAUCCUGCACGACAUUCAGUUCUGGGGGCGUGGGCGUGUCGUCGGCAUGAGUCUGCGACAAGACGCCGGCGGUCAUUCGAGCUGCGCCGUGCAGUCCUUAGGCCACAACGGUCCGGCUACGGGCAACACCACCAUCCGCGUUGGCUGGAAGCGCAGGCCAAGAGGUUCUCGUGCGCCAGACGAGAUGGCUGUAGUAGUUGAUCGCGUUUCUCCGCUUGAAGCUGCCAUUUGAGGAUUCGCUGGUAGGGGGACUGAGGUGGUGGUCAACCCGGCGCUUGGCACAAUUUUUGAUUCACUGGCAGAGGCGUAUGAAUUCUACAAUCUCUAUUCAUGGGAGGUGCGGUUUGGGAUUCGAUACGGCAAGAGCAGGCAAAAUGUAGAUGGCACCAAAUGUAUGCAAGAGAUUGUGUGCGGCUGCGCUGUAAGCCCCCUUUUGUGUUUAUAUUUUGUGCUUGUAUGCCGUGCAUGGCUUGUUUUAUGCGGGAAUGAGCUGACAUAUUUUCCCUGUUUAUUGUUUUGUAACUAAAUUACAGGGCAAACUAGAGAGGGAGAACAGUUGUGACAUGUGAUUUUCAUUUUCCAAUAAGGGAUGUCACAACUUGUUGGGACUGUAAAAUUGACUUAGUGCUGUUAUUCUUACAUUUCCUGCUUUUGACGUUCC